rnacentral:rRNA from 1 species
AUUGAACGCUGGCGGCAGGCCUAACACAUGCAAGUCGAGCGGGGUUUUCGGACCUAGCGGCGGACGGGUGAGUAAUGCGUAGGAAGCUACCCGAUAGAGGGGGAUACCAGUUGGAAACGACUGUUAAUACCGCAUAAUGUCUACGGACCAAAGUGUGGGACCUUCGGGCCACAUGCUAUCGGAUGCGCCUACGUGGGAUUAGCUAGUUGGUGAGGUAAUGGAUCACCAAGGCGACGAUCCCUAGCUGGUUUGAGAGGAUGAUCAGCAACACUGGAACUGAGACACGGUCCAGACUCCUACGGGAGGCAGAAGUGGGGAAUAUUGGACAAUGGGCGCAAGCCUGAUCCAGCCAUGCCGCGUGUGUGAAGAAGGCCUUCGGGUUGUAAAGCACUUUCAGUAGGGAGGAAGCGUUGUGUGUUAAUAGUACACAGCGUUGACGUUACCUACAGAAGAAGCACCGGCUAACUCUGUGCCAGCCGCCGCCGUAAGAC